rnacentral:lncRNA from 1 species
AGUACCAUAGGUCUCAUCAAGUUAGAUAAAAUUUGGCUGUUAGGGGCCGGCCCAGUGGUGCAGUGGUUAAGUUCACCUGUUCCACUUUGGCGGCCUGGGGUUCGCUGGUUCGGAUCCCGGGUGCAGACCUAUGCACCACUUAUCAAGCCAUGCUGUGGCAGGCGUCCCACAUACAAAGUAGAGGAAGAUGAGCACAGAUGUUAGCUCAGGGCCAACCUUCCUCGGGGAAAAAAAGGGAUUGGCAGCAGAUGUUAGUUCAGGGCUAAUCUUCCUCAAAAAAAAGAAUAAUUGGCUGUUAAAUUUUCUACAAAGGUCCAGAAGCUGACUCUCAUAUAUCUCAGAAGAGUCUGUCUUCUUAAUAUUUAAUAAGGAAGUAAAGUUUAAGUAAUUUAAAGCCAUCAUCAGGAAAUAUCAGUUCAUGACAUAGAAUUUUAUGUAAAGCCUUAUUAAAGAGGAGUUCUUUGCAAGAUGUACUUGGAAAGGAAUGAAAACAUGACCAGAAAUCACUUUUCACCUUGAGAUGGUGUUGGAAAAUUUAAGGACUUGAAAGACAUUUUGGUUUCCGUGCUGAAUUCAAUUACUUGUGGAUACAUAUUCCAAAAAAUAUAAACAUUACAGUCUUCCUCUGGAAUUCCCAUGGAGCAACUCCCAGAAAAUGUCUAUUUUAGAUAGAAUUUUCAAUCUUUAAUGUCUGUGAUACAGGAUAUAUAGAAUCCCCACAAAUUAUUUAAAAAAACACACUUCAUCUUUUCAAUGUGAUCCCCCCUGUUAUCUGUAUGUGUAUCUCCCAUCGUUGAGUACUCAGUGGAGUCCAAACCAGGUUAAAGACAUUCUUCCCUUUUUCUGCCUACUCCUAGAUGAAUAUAUUUAAACUUCCUUUUUUUCAUGGCAAAGUUCCUAAGCUUUUCGAAUGUGCUGCUGAGACAUUUUAAAGAGAGUAUUGGAAAGAUAGGACUUGGAACAGUAAAUGUCAGACUAUGAAGAGUAAAUGCUAUAAAAUAC